UGACGGUACCUGACUAAGAAGCCCCGGCUAACUACGUGCCAGCAGCCGCGGUAAUACGUAGGGGGCAAGCGUUAUCCGGAUUUACUGGGUGUAAAGAGUGCGUAGGUGGCAUGGUAAGUCAGAUGUGAAAUACCGGGGCUCAACUCCGGGGCUGCAUUUGAAACUGCCAGGCUGGAGUACAGGAGAGGCAAGCGGAAUUCCUAGUGUAGCGGUGAAAUGCGUAGAUAUUAGGAGGAACACCAGUGGCGAAGGCGGCUUGCUGGACUGUUACUGACACUGAGGCACGAAAGCGUGGGGAGCAAACAGGAUUAGAUACCCUG
rnacentral:rRNA from 1 species